rnacentral:tRNA from 1 species
GGCCGUUUAACUCAGCGGUAGAGUGCCUCGUUUACAUCGAGGAAGUCGCAGGUCCGAAUCCUGCAACGGCCACCA